CUCUCUUGUUACGAGUGUGUGGGACCUUUUGUUCGGCCUGUUUGUUCCGGUAGUGGAGCCGGGACCCGGGAGCGCCCGGCUGGAGCAGGAACUGGGCUCAGACAAUGACAGACUGACCCCCUGAUCCCAGUGCCUGUUCUUUGCUGUACUCAGGAAUCCUCUCCACUCCUGAUAUGGAGCAGCCAUAUGGUUGAGUUGGCACAGGCUCAACACUGGCAUCAGAAACUGCAAAGACAAAAUCCCAGCAAGACCAGACUCUUCAAGGACUUAAACUAAUAAACUCAAGGAAUUUCUACUGA